rnacentral:rRNA from 1 species
GCCUAGCCGUAACACACAAUUAAACUACCAAUUGCCCGCCAAACAACUACGAGUCAUACUUAAAACUUAAAAGACUUGACGGUACUUCAUCACGCCCUAGAGGAGCCUGUCUAAUAACCGACAAUCCACGAUUAACCCCACCCUUUCUCGCCCAACAGUCUAUAUACCGCCGUCGCCAGCUUACCUUGUAAAAGAAAUAAAGUAAGCUAAACAGUACUACACUAAAACGACAGGUCGAGGUGUAACCCAUGAAAGGGACCAAGAUGGGCUACAUUCUCAAACCAAGAAUACGAACAGCACUACGAAACUAAUGCCCGAAGGCGGAUUUAGCAGUAAGAUAGGGAUAAAACACCUAACUGAACAUAACGCAAUGAAGUGCGUACACACCGCCCGUCAUCCCUGCCACCACAACAAUUAAUCUUAAUAAACCGACCCCAAAUAACCAAGCAGGGCAAGUCGUAACAUGGUAAGUGUACUGGAAAGUGUACUUAGAAA